AACGAACGCCGGCGGCAUGCCUAACACAUGCAAGUCGAACGAUUGCCUUCGGGUGAUAGUGGCGCACGGGUGCGUAACGCGUGGGAAUCUGCCCUUAGGUUCGGAAUAACAGCUGGAAACGGCUGCUAAUACCGGAUGAUAUCGCGAGAUCAAAGAUUUAUCGCCUGAGGAUGAGCCCGCGUUGGAUUAGGUAGUUGGUGGGGUAAAGGCCUACCAAGCCGACGAUCCAUAGCUGGUCUGAGAGGAUGAUCAGCCACACUGGGACUGAGACACGGCCCAGACUCCUACGGGAGGCAGCAGUGGGGAAUAUUGGACAAUGGGCGCAAGCCUGAUCCAGCAAUGCCGCGUGAGUGAUGAAGGCCCUAGGGUUGUAAAGCUCUUUUACCCGGGAAGAUAAUGACUGUACCGGGAGAAUAAGCCCCGGCUAACUCCGUG
rnacentral:rRNA from 1 species